rnacentral:lncRNA from 1 species
UGUGAGCAUGUGCGCGAGUGCACGUGCGCGCGCACGCACACACACACACACACACACACACACACAGAGCCCAGGGGAGCUGACUGAACACGCGGCCUGGGAACACUGGCCAUGAGGGUGCAGGCUCAGGCCACGCACGACCCUGCGGCCCUCCGUGCUGCUGAGUCCACAGCGUCCUCUGCCCCCCCACCCCCCGAGGCCGGCUGGACCUGGGCCCAGACCAGGACCUUGCAGGACAGUGACUGCUUCCUUGCUCAGGGAGCUCUGGUUCCAGGGGUGAGGAUAAGAAUGCUCUUUUGGGGGGCUACCAUGCAGCCCACUGCGGGUUGGUGCUAUAGACACGAGGGACCUGCCUACUGCAAAAACAAAACCAAACCAGAUUCUGGAAUCUGAGAAGCGGAAGUCGCCCGAGGCCUCCUCUUAUCGCUUGGAGCCGCUGGUCGCUAAGAAGGAAUGGGCAGGCGCUCAAGGGAGUGCAGUUUCCACCCGGCCCUGCGUAGCCCAAGACACGCACAGCUGAGGAUUACGCUGGGGGCAGAGGCAGAGAGACACGUCCACAGAGAAAGGCAGCAUCAGACGUGGGAAGCCCAGGAGGGCUUCCUGGAGGAGGGGGCUCCAGAGCUGAGUCCUAAAGGAGGCGCCAGUCAGGAGUGGGACUCAAGCUGAGCCCGGGUUCGAUGUUCUCUAACUCAGAGUCAGAGGAGGGGACGACUGCCCGGACUACUGUCUGUCUGCAGUCAGGCCGCCGGGUCCGCUCUGGGCGAGGCCGACUGCCCAGUGGCUCUGCGGGACCAGCACCAGAUCAGCCACCAAAGGUUGGACGCCCCUGACGCCCGCGGUUCUUAGAAAGGAGAUCCCGCGCCCCUGGCCCGCUGCCUCCCAUCUCCCCACGACACCUCCAUGCCUCGCAGGCUCCAUGACUCUCCAUGACUCACGCGGGCUUCAGGAGCUUCCAAACCAACCAGAUUUACAG